rnacentral:rRNA from 1 species
GAUGCUACCGGGCGACCGGAUGCGGAUCUCGAAAGCCUGUCCCAGUUCGGACUGGAGUCUGCAACCCGACUCCACGAAGUUGGAUUCGCUAGUAAUCGCGCAUCAGCCAUGGCGCGGUGAAUACGUUCCCGGGCCUUGUACACACCGCCCGUCAAGCCAUGGGAGCCGGGGGCGCCUGAAGUCCGGGACCGCAAGGACCGGCCUAGGGCGAAACUGGUAACUGGGGCUAAGUCGUAACAAGGUAAC